rnacentral:lncRNA from 1 species
CCCAUCAUAUCAUAUCGGCCACUGCAGGUAAAAUCAUCAUCGUAUACCAGUUGAUCAGGUGGUGGUGCGUAUAUAACGCCAUAACUUUUCCCAUAUACCAUAUACAUACAUAUACAUACAUAUAUAUAUGCAUAUAUAAUGCCGUUUGAAUUAUAUUUACAUAUAUACGCGUAUAUAACGUCGUUUUAAUCAUAUUUCAGCCGUUGUGGGCAGCAUCAUAUACUAACUGAUCAGGUGGUGGUGCGUAUAUAACGCCGUAACCUUUUCCCAUAUCUCAUAUACAUAUAUUUACAUAUAUACGCGUAUAUAACGCCAUCUGUUCAUGGGUCAAUGCACAUGAAUGAAAUGUAUGAAAAUCACGUCAAUAAAAUCAUUCGGAAUGUCAUAAGACCAUUUUUCCUCUGAGUAAUAUCAUAAAGUAAACUCUUUACAACUUUCGUAUUUUUCUGAGACCCAUGAACAGAUGAUAAAAUAUUAUGGCAUGUGAAAAUUCAAGAACAUGGAUAUCUCUAAUACUUCUAUGAAUAGAGUCAUUAUGGAAUUUGUGCAUUUGUACGUUUCGUUCGUAUCGUAUGGAUCAUGCCAAAAGAAUAGAAGGGAUAGCCUUAACAUACCUGUUUCUUGAAUUAUAUGAACGAAUCUGCUUUUGCGAAAUAUGGACGAAAUUUAUACUCGGAUUUUCCUUGAAAUUGGAACGAACUUGUUUUGGAUUUGAAAUUUUGGAAGAACUUUUGAUUUUUGCUUCUAACGUUUUUGUGCAGAAAUGGAUUUAAUCUUGAUGUUAGCUUUGAAACCACAAAAAAACAUUGAGACUAAGCCAAAAAAACGUUGAACCAAGAAAGUGUAAAAGCAAGACUUCAAACAAUUGUUUCCCUUGAAGUCUUGAAAGGAAAAAC